AAAUGUGUAGCACCAAAUUGUGAUUUCUGCCUUUCUCAGGAAGCUCUUCAUCACAAAAACUCAAAUUAUUGUAAGAAGUGAUGUUGGCAACAAUGUGGUCAAACGGAUCCACAGUUACAUCAUGUUCAACAUAAGCUUGCUGAAGCACUUUUUGUAACGCCUCUCUAUCGCCUCAGAAUUCAUCAACAAUGACAGCACGGAGAUCUUUGAUGGGGUUUGGAGCAGCUGCUCCACCACAUUAAAC
rnacentral:lncRNA from 1 species